CGCAGAGCCGCGGGUUAGGCUGCGCGGGAGGGAAAGCAGGUUUCAAGGAGGGUUGAGGCGAGAAGUAUCCUGGGACAGACAGAUACACCAACACAGCAUACAUAAAUAAAGCUAGCAGUGUUCAAGAUCACUGGGAGUUCAGAAAAUGCCACUGUCGUCAUCAGUGGGGCCAAUUCAGAUAUUUCUUGGGAGAGCAAAUUCCAGUCCCCGCCCCUGAUAUCCCUGCCCUUCCAGUCCCCACUUGUCCCCCAUCUUCCCCUAGCCUCCUUCCACAGGAAAUCCAGGUUUCCCUCAGCCGGGGAGUCUCUGCUCUCUUACCCGCAAAGUGCGUGAGCCGGUGCUGCCGGGAGUCAAGUUCUUAGCUGACAACUCCCCUGCCUCUGUCACACCCCUUGUGCCAGGUCAAAACACCAUUCAGUGAAAUUUGACUUGGACACCCAUCUGGAGGAGGCAUGCCUGGGUCAGAUUUCAGUGGCAUUGCAAUCACACAGCCAGAGUGAUUCUCCAGACCACUCUGGCGGAAGCAGUACUGAUUUAGUACAAGACCAGUGCUUAGAGUUGUUGGGCCAUGGUCCCUAUGACUCCACAGCCUAUGGAACUUUGAAUAAGUGCAAAAAACUUUGGACUGGCACCAUGGUGAUUAUAAAGGAUU